rnacentral:rRNA from 1 species
ACGUAGGGUGCGAGCGUUAAUCGGAAUUACUGGGCGUAAAGGGUGCGCAGGCGGUUAUUUAAGACAGAUGUGAAAUCCCCGGGCUCAACCUGGGAACUGCGUUUGUGACUGAAUGGCUAGAGUGCGGCAGAGGGGGGUGGAAUUCCACGUGUAGCAGUGAAAUGCGUAGAGAUGUGGAGGAACACCGAUGGCGAAGGCAGCCCCCUGGGCCAGCACUGACGCUCAUGCACGAAAGCGUGGGGAGCAAACAGGAUUAGAUACCCUGGUAGUCCACGCCCUAAACGAUGUCAACUAGGUGUUGGGGAAGGAGACUUUCUUAGUACCGCAGCUAACGCGUGAAGUUGACCGCCUGGGGAGUACGGUCGCAAGAUUA